AUUGAACGCUGGCGGCAGGCCUAACACAUGCAAGUCGAGCGGAUGAAGGGAGCUUGCUCCUGGAUUCAGCGGCGGACGGGUGAGUAAUGCCUAGGAAUCUGCCUGGUAGUGGGGGAUAACGUCCGGAAACGGGCGCUAAUACCGCAUACGUCCUGAGGGAGAAAGUGGGGGAUCUUCGGACCUCACGCUAUCAGAUGAGCCUAGGUCGGAUUAGCUAGGUGGUGGGGUAAAGGCCUACCAAGGCGACGAUCCGUAACUGGUCUGAGAGGAUGAUCAGUCACACUGGAACUGAGACACGGCCCAGACUCCUACGGGAGGCAGCAGUGGGGAAUAUUGGACAAUGGGCGAAAGCCUGAUCCAGCCAUGCCGCGUGUGUGAAGAAGGUCUUCGGAUUGUAAAGCACUUUAAGUUGGGAGGAAGGGCAGUAAGUUAAUACCUUGCUGUUUUGACGUUACCAGCAGAAUAAGCACCGGCUAACUUCGUG
rnacentral:rRNA from 1 species